UUAGUGGCGGACGGGUGAGUAACGCGUGGGCAACCUGCCUUACACAGGGGGAUAACACCUGGAAACAGGUGCUAAUACCGCAUAAGCGCACAGGGCCGCAUGGCCCGGUGUGAAAAACUCCGGUGGUGUAAGAUGGACCCGCGUCUGAUUAGCUUGUUGGCGGGGUAGGGGCCCACCAAGGCGACGAUCAGUAGCCGGCCUGAGAGGGUGGACGGCCACAUUGGGACUGAGACACGGCCCAAACUCCUACGGAAGGCAGCAG
rnacentral:rRNA from 1 species